rnacentral:rRNA from 1 species
UGGGGAAUUUUGGACAAUGGGCGAAAGCCUGAUCCAGCAAUGCCGCGUGUGUGAAGAAGGCCUUCGGGUUGUAAAGCACUUUUGUCCGGAAAGAAAUCCUUGGCUCUAAUACAGUCGGGGGAUGACGGUACCGGAAGAAUAAGCACCGGCUAACUACGUGCCAGCAGCCGCGGUAAUACGUAGGGUGCAAGCGUUAAUCGGAAUUACUGGGCGUAAAGCGUGCGCAGGCGGUUUGCUAAGACCGAUGUGAAAUCCCCGGGCUCAACCUGGGAACNGCAUUGGUGACUGGCAGGCUAGAGUAUGGCAGAGGGGGGUAGAAUUCCACGUGUAGCAGUGAAAUACGUAGAGAUGUGGAGGAAUACCGAUGGCGAAGGCAGCCCCCCUGGGCCAAUACUGACGCUCAUGCACGAAAGCCGUGGGGAGCAAACAGAUUAGAUACCCUGUAGUCCNCGCCCUAAACGAUGUCAACUAGUUGUUGGGGGAUUCAUUUCCUUAGUAACGUAGCUAACGCGUGAAGUUGACCGCCUGGGGAGUACGGUCGCAAGAUUAAAACUCAAAGGAAUU